rnacentral:rRNA from 1 species
UUGAGUCUCGUAGAGGGGGGUAGAAUUCCAGGUGUAGCGGUGAAAUGCGUAGAGAUCUGGAGGAAUACCGGUGGCGAAGGCGGCCCCCUGGACGAAGACUGACGCUCAGGUGCGAAAGCGUGGGGAGCAAACAGGAUUAGAUACCCUGGUAGUCCACGCCGUAAACGAUGUCGACUUGGAGGUUGUGCCCUUGAGGCGUGGCUUCCGGAGCUAACGCGUUAAGUCGACCGCCUGGGGAGUACGGCCGCAAGGUUAAAACUCAAAUGAAUUGACGGGGGCCCGCACAAGCGGUGGAGCAUGUGGUUUAAUUCGAUGCAACGCGAAGAACCUUACCUGGUCUUGACAUCCACGGAAGUUUUCAGAGAUGAGAAUGUGCCUUCGGGAACCGUGAGACAGGUGCUGCAUGGCUGUCGUCAGCUCGUGUUGUGAAAUGUUGGGUUAAGUCCCGCAACGAGCGCAACCCUUAUCCUUUGUUGCCAGCGGUCCGGCCGGGAACUCAAAGGAGACUGCCAGUGAU